rnacentral:rRNA from 1 species
UACGUAGGAGGCAAGCGUUGUCCGGAAUUACUGGGCGUAAAGCGCGUGUAGGUGGUGGGACAAGUCUGCUGUGAAAGCGCCUGGCUUAACCGGGCGAGGUCGGCGGAAACUGUCCGACUCGAGGACGGUAGAGGGGGGUGGAAUUCCCGGUGUAGUGGUGAAAUGCGUAGAGAUCGGGAGGAACACCUGUGGCGAAGGCGGCCCCCUGGGCCGGCCCUGACACUGAGACGCGAAAGCCAGGGGAGCGAACGGG